AUGGAGGCGCGCGGUCCUAUGCCGAAGAGGACGAAAUUUACGGCGCCCCCCUCCGCCCACAACCAACAACCGCCGCCCGGAGCGGGCGAGGAUGAAGAAAGCGCCGACCGCAUCAGCAACCUCCCCGACGCCAUCCUCGGCGAAAUCGUCUCCCGCCUCCCCACCAACCAAGGCGCCCGCACCCAGAUCCUCGCGCACCGGUGGCGCCACAUCUGGAGCUCCGCGCCUCUUAGCAUCGACUGCGAGGGCCUCCCCGCCGAUAACGAGGUACUCGCCGGCAUCGUCUCGCGCACGGUUUCAACGCAUCCGCCCCCCUGCCGCCGCUUCUGCGUCCCCUCGUGCUUCCUCGGCGACCGAGCCUCCACGGUGGACAAAUGGCUCCGAACCCCCGCCCUGGACAACCUCCAGGAGCUGGAGUUCUGGUUCAAACCGUACUAUCGACCGCAGCCGCUGCAGCAGCCGCCACCAUCGUCCAUGUUCCGCUUCUCGGCCACGCUCUGUGUUGCCACCAUCGGAAACUGCAACCUUCCGGACAGCACCGUCCAAGGGCUUCACUUCCCCCUGCUUAAGCAGCUCGGACUUGAACUUGUCAGCAUCUCGGAGUGCUCACUGCACAGCUUGAUUGCCAGUUGCCCUGCUUUGGAGUGCUUGCUGGUUAGCCAUGGAUUCGGCUUUCGCUGCCUCAGGAUCAACUCCCUUACCCUUAGAAGCUUUGCUGUCAAGAACUAUCGGAAAGGCAAUGACCAGUUAAAGGAACUCAUUGUCGAGAAUGCACCUUGCCUUCAAAGGUUGCUGCAUCUUGAUUUUGACUAUGGUCUGCAUAUAUCGGUAGUGUCCGCGCCUAAACUGGAGAGCAUAGGCUGCCUUUCUGAUGGGUUUUACAUUUCCAAAGAGGAUGAUCUCUCCAGACUCGUGUUUGGCUCCACGGUUAUUCAGGGCUUGCGUGUCGAUAGACUGACAACGGUGGUGCACACAGUGAAGAAUUUAGCUGUCAAUAUGAAGCUUCUUAGUUUGGAUACAAUUAUCGAGUUGAUGCGAUGCUUUCCGUGCUUGGAGAAGAUGUACAUUGAGUCAGAGUCGAAGAAGGAAAAAAGUGUGCGCGGUCGCAGACACCGGAAUCUUACCAAAUGUCCUAACAUCCGUCUAAAGACAAUAGUAUUUGAAUGUUAUGAGGGUAUUAAGUCUGACAUUGAAUUUGCUUCAUUCUUUGUACUGAACGCUACAGUGCUUGAGUUAAUGACACUUCAGAUCGGGGCCAGGGAUUACAAUGAAAAAUUCUUGGCAGAACAACGUAGGAAGCUUCAGCUAGAAAACAAGGCUUCAAGAGGUGCUCGGUUUCAUUUUACAACUGAUAGAUGUGCCCGUGGUGUUUGGGAUGUGCAUCAUGUCCGUGACUUGGAUUUAACUGAUCCAUUUGUAUGA
rnacentral:rRNA from 1 species